rnacentral:rRNA from 1 species
CGUGGACAACCUACCUGGGAGCGGGGGAUAACAUGGGGAAACUCGUGCUAAUACCGCAUACGUCUUCGGAACUUUGGUUCUGAAGGGAAAGCUGGCCGAUACAUGUAAGCUGGCACUCCCAGAGGGGUCCGCGUUCGAUUAGCUAGAUGGCGAGGUAACGGCUCACCAUGGCGACGAUCGAUAGCCGGCCUGAGAGGGUGAUCGGCCACACUGGGACUGAGACACGGCCCAG